rnacentral:sRNA from 1 species
GGCUAUUGACUCAAGCUCAUGGCGUUUUAAUUCGUCGAUCGCUUUGAGUGCUUCUUCGGCUGACCAACCUGCAGACACCGCC